rnacentral:rRNA from 1 species
UAAUACGAAGGGGGCUAGCGUUGCUCGGAAUGACUGGGCGUAAAGGGCGCGUAGGCGGUGAACACAGUUAGACGUGAAAUUCCCGGGCUCAACCUGGGGGCUGCGUUUAAUACAUGUUCGCUUGAGUUCGGAAGAGGGUCGUGGAAUUCCCAGUGUAGAGGUGAAAUUCGUAGAUAUUGGGAAGAACACCGGUGGCGAAGGCGGCGACCUGGUCCGAUACUGACGCUGAGGCGCGAAAGCGUGGGGAGCAAACAGGAUUAGAUACCCUGGUAGUCCACGCCGUAAACGAUGUGUGCUGGAUGUUGGGUGGCCUAGCCAUUCAGUGUCGUAGCUAACGCGAUAAGCACACCGCCUGGGGAGUACGGCCGCAAGGUUG